UACGUAGGUGACCAGCGUUGUCCGGAUUUACUGGGCGUAAAGAGCGCGCAGGCGGUCCUUCAAGUCGAGUGUGAAAGCCCCCGGCUCAACUGGGGAGGGUCACUCGAUACUGAUCGACUUGAAGGCAGGAGAGGGAAGCGGAAUUCCCGGUGUAGUGGUGAAAUGCGUAGAUAUCGGGAGGAACACCAGUGGCGAAGGCGGCUUCCUGGCCUGUUCUUGACGCUGAGGCGCGAAAGCUAGGGGAGCAAACGGG
rnacentral:rRNA from 1 species